GGCCUGAAGGUACAUAGCGCGUGAGGGAGGAUGCUCUUGGGUUGUAAACCUCUUUUCUCAGGGAAGAACACAAUGACGGUACCUGAAGAAUCAACCUCGGCUAACUCCCUGCCAGCAGCCGCGGUAAUACCGAGGAAGCAAGCGUUAUCCGGAAUUAUUGGGCGUAAAGCGUCCGGAGGGGGGUCUUCAAGUCUGCUGUCAAAAUCUGGGGCUUAACCCUGGAAAGGCGGUGGAAACUGAAUAGCUAGAGUGCGGCAGGGGUAAAGGGAAUUCCCGGUGUAACGGUGAAAUGCGUAAAAAUUGGGAAAAAACCCCGUGGGCAAAGCGCUCUGCUGGGCCUAUUCUGACCCUCAAGGAACAAAGCUAGGGGAGCAAAAGGGAUUUAAUACCCCUGUUAUCCAAAGGGAUUCAAGCCCCCUGUAUUCACAUGGCCAAAAAUCCCCAAAGUCCCCUUUUUUUUUUUUUUCUUUUUUUUCUGUUGG
rnacentral:rRNA from 1 species